CGGUUAGCUCAAUUGGCAGAGCACCAGGCCCAUAACCUGGCUGUUACAGGUUCGAAUCCUGUACCGA
rnacentral:tRNA from 1 species